GAGAAAACUUUGCAAUGUGCGAAAGCACGACAAGGUUAAUCCGAGUGGUUUCUGCUAAAGGAACCUUUUGUCGGUCCUAGAAACGCCGAUGAAUAAGGGGUGGGCAAGUUCUGGUGUCAGCCGCCGCGGUAAAACCAGCACCUCAAGUGGUCAGGAUGAUUAUUGGGCCUAAAGCAUCCGUAGCCGGCUCCAUAAGUUUUCGGUUAAAUCUGUACGCUCAACGGUACAGGGCUGCCCGGGAAUACUGUGGAGCUAGGGAGUGGGAGAGGUAGACGGUACUCGGUAGGAAGGGGUAAAAUCCUUUGAUCUAUUGAUGACCACCUGUGGCGAAGGCGGUCUACCAGACACGUCCGACGGUGAGGGAUGAAAGCGUGGGGGAG
rnacentral:rRNA from 2 species